GGUUUGUGGACAAAGAAGCAGUCGCAGUUACCAGUGUGUCUCGGAAGGCAACUUUCUACAAUAGACCAAGCUCUACGGACUUCAUAAAUGUCCAUGACAUUUUUCUUGAAUGUGAUCAUGAUUCAAUCAUAUACCUUGGGAAGUCUGUUGAACCAACAAUAUAUGAUCUUUUGGGUGAUCAAGAGGUU